rnacentral:ncRNA from 1 species
CCUCGUUGUGUGUUACAAGUGUCACACGAGACCGCCCUGCCCUCUGGAUUAAUAUAAUUUAUGUACUACGUAUAUGUUCUAAAGUCUGUAAAUAAAAAUUUCUUGUACACAGGAAGUACAAGCGAUUUGAAAGAUAGAUUUAAAGAACAUAAUUCAGGUAGAGUAAAAUCAACAAAAUUAUACUAUCCUUUUAAAUUAAUUUAUUACGAAGCAUAUGUUUCUAAAACUGAUGCUUUGGUUAGAGAAAAUUCUUUGAAACAUCAUGGUGGAACAAUCGCCGGAUUAAAGAAGAGGAUUUCUAAUAGUAUGAAUUAAUAUCCAGAGGGCAGGGAGGAAGGAGAGGAUGACGCCAGGUCAGCAUGUCCCUUUGAUACCCUGGGCUACACACAUAAUACAAUGGCCACUACAACGCGUAGCGACGAGGCGACUCUGAGCUAAUCGUAUAAAAGUGGCCCCAGUUCGGAUUGGAGUCUGCAACUCGACUCCAUGAAGCCGGAAUUGCUAGUAAUCGCAGGUCAGCUAAACUGCGGUGAAUACGUUCUCAAGUCUUGUACUCACCGCCCGUCAAGUCAAGGGAGCCGGGAAUACCCGAAGUCUCUACAUAAGUGGGGCCUAAGGUAAGCUUGGUAACAGGGACUAAGUCGUAACAAGGCACGGGUAGCGGAAGCUGCUCGUGGAAUAAUUCAAUU